rnacentral:rRNA from 1 species
UACGUAGGGUGCAAGCGUUGUCCGGAAUUAUUGGGCGUAAAGAGCUCGUAGGUGGCCUGUCGCGUCGGCUGUGAAAACUCGGGGCUCAACUCCGAGCUUGCAGUCGAUACGGGCAGGCUAGAGUUCGGCAGGGGAGACUGGAAUUCCUGGUGUAGCGGUGAAAUGCGCAGAUAUCGGGAGGAAUACCAGUGGCGCAAGCGGCGCCCUGGCCGUGACCUGACACUGAGCCACGACGGCGUGGGGAGCAAACGGG